GGGGACAAUGCAGGAAGGCAGGGCUCAGCACUGCUGUCACCUCCCCAGAGGCCACCCCAGGCCACCAGGUAGCUGUAUCUGGUGCCCCCCAGGAUGUGACCUACGCCCAGCUGAAUUACCUCAAGCUCAAGGAGACAGCCACUCCUCCUUCCUCCCAGGGACAGGAGCCUCCCACUGAGCCCAGUGUCUACACCACCCUGGCCUUCCACUAGCCCAGGACACUGCUCAGAUCCCAUGCUGCAAGGACAGGGACACGGGGACCCCAGCAGGCACUAGACAGCCCAUGGACAUGCAGCUGGGUGUCACGGCCAGGCUGGGGCCUGACAUGCAUGGCCAGGAGCAUCUGCGACCUGCUGGAAGUCACCUGAUUCCCAGUCACAAUAACUGGUCCCCAACCACGUGCCACGUUUGGCCAUUUUACUCUCCUAGUCACCAACAGGCAAGGGGAGGAGUCACAAGGCAAGUGAGAAAGUGUGUGAUGGGAAAGUGCAUCCCGCUGAUGACGCACAGAAAUGAAGUGACUUUGAUCAAAGGAAAUUUACAAUAAAGUUCAAAAUGUGCUGGGGUGACCCUGGGGAGCCCCAUGUCA